GGAAUAUUGCACAAUGGGCGCAAGCCUGAUGCAGCCAUGCCGCGUGAGUGAUGAAGGCCUUAGGGUUGUAAAGCUCUUUCACCGAUGAAGAUAAUGACGGUAAUCGGAGAAGAAGCCCCGGCUAACUUCGUGCCAGCAGCCGCGGUAAUACGAAGGGGGCAAGCGUUGUUCGGAAUUACUGGGCGUAAAGCGCGCGUAGGCGGGUCAUUAAGUCAGGGGUGAAAUCCCGGAGCUCAACUCCGGAACUGCCUUUGAUACUGGUGACCUAGAGUCCGGGAGAGGUGAGUGGAACUCCUAGUGUAGAGGUGAAAUUCGUAGAUAUUAGGAAGAACACCAGUGGCGAAGGCGGCUCACUGGCCCGGAACUGACGCUGAGGCGCGAAAGCGUGGGGAGCAAACAGGAUUAGAUACCCGGGUAGUCC
rnacentral:rRNA from 1 species